GACGAACGCUGGCGGCGUGCUUAACACAUGCAAGUCGAACGGAAAGGCCCUGCUUUUGUGGGGUGCUCGAGUGGCGAACGGGUGAGUAACACGUGAGUAACCUGCCCUUGACUUUGGGAUAACUUCAGGUAACUGGGGCUAAUACCGGAUAGGAGCUCACGCUGCAUGGUGGGGGUUGGAAAGUUUCGGCGGUUGGGGAUGGACUCGCGGCUUAUCAGCUUGUUGGUGGGGUAGUGGCUUACCAAGGCUUUGACGGGUAGCCGGCCUGAGAGGGUGACCGGCCACAUUGGGACUGAGAUACGGCCCAGACUCCUACGGGAGGCAGCAGUGGGGAAUAUUGCACAAUGGGCGGAAGCCUAAUGCAGCAACGCCGCGUGCGGGAUGACGGCAUUCGGGUUGUAAACCGCUUUCGCCUGUGACGAAGCGUGAGUGACGGUAAUGGGUAAAGAAGCACCGGCUAACUACGUG
rnacentral:rRNA from 1 species